rnacentral:rRNA from 1 species
GACGAACGCUGGCGGCGUGCUUAACACAUGCAAGUCGAACGAUGAUGCUGGAGCUUGCUCCAGUUGAUUAGUGGCGAACGGGUGAGUAACACGUGAGCAAUCUGCCCUUGACUCUGGGAUAACUGCGGGAAACUGUAGCUAAUACCGGAUACUUUCACCGGAAGGCAUCUUCUGGUGAUGAAAGAAUUUCGGUCAGGGAUGAGCUCGCGGCCUAUCAGCUUGUUGGUGAGGUAACGGCUCACCAAGGCGACGACGGGUAACCGGCCUGAGAGGGUGCCCGGUCACACUGGGACUGAGACACGGCCCAGACUCCUACGGGAGGCAGCAGUGGGGAAUAUUGCACAAUGGGCGCAAGCCUGAUGCAGCAACGCCGCGUGAGGGAUGAAGGCCUUCGGGUUGUAAACCUCUUUUAGCAGGGAAGAAGCGAAAGUGACGGUACCUGCAGAAAAAGCACCGGCUAACUACGUGCCAGCCGCCGCGGUA